rnacentral:pre_miRNA from 1 species
CAAAUACUCCCUCCGUCUGAAAAAACUUGUUCCAAGCUUGUCCCUCAAAUGGAUGUAUCUAGCACUAACUUGAUGCUAUAUACAAUCAUUUGAGGGACAAACUUUUUCGGGCGGAGGGAGUAGAUG